rnacentral:rRNA from 1 species
GACGAACGCUGGCGGCGUGCUUAACACAUGCAAGUCGAGCGGAAAGGCCACUUCGGUGGUACUCGAGCGGCGAACGGGUGAGUAACACGUGAGUAAUCUGCCCCUGGCUUUGGGAUAGCCACCGGAAACGGUGAUUAAUACCGGAUAUGACCACGUCUCGCAUGGGGUGUGGUGGAAAGUUUUUCGGCCAGGGAUGUGCUCGCGGCCUAUCAGCUUGAUGGUGAGGUAAUGGCUCACCAUGGCUUCGACGGGUAGCCGGCCUGAGAGGGUGACCGGUCACACUGGGACUGAGACACGGCCCAGACUCCUACGGGAGGCAGCAGUGGGGAAUAUUGGACAAUGGGCGGAAGCCUGAUCCAGCAACGCCGCGUGAGGGAUGACGGCCUUCGGGUUGUAAACCUCUUUCAGUACCGACGAAGCGCAAGUGACGGUAGGUACAGAAGAAGCACCGGCCAACUACGUGCCAGCAGCCGCCGCUGUAA